rnacentral:rRNA from 1 species
UACAGAGGUCUCGAGCGUUGUUCGGAUUCAUUGGGCGUAAAGGGUGCGUAGGUGGCGUCGUAAGUCAGGUGUGAAAUCUCGGGGCUCAACCCCGAAACUGCACUUGAUACUGCGAUGCUUGAGUACUGGAGAGGAGAUUGGAAUUUACGGUGUAGCAGUGAAAUGCGUAGAUAUCGUAAGGAACACCAGUGGCGAAGGCGAAUCUCUGGACAGUUACUGACACUGAGGCACGAAAUC